CCCUUAGAUGUUCUGGGCAGCACGCGCGCUACAAUGGUCUUCGCAAACGGAUGCAUUCUCGAAGGAGAAUGCCAAUCUUGGAAUCUAUGCCUUGGUCGGGACAGUUGCUUGCAAUUUUUCGACUCGAACCAGGAAUUCCUUGUAAUCGUGAUUCAUCACAUCACGAUGAAUACGUCCCUGCCCUUUGUACACACCGCCCGUCGCUCCUACCGAUCGAAGAGUUAGGUGAAUUGUUUUGAUCGAUAAGAUUUGACUAUGUCAACUCUCGUUGUGAAAUUCUGUGAAUCUGACUGUUUAGAGGAAGGAAAAGUCGUAACA
rnacentral:rRNA from 1 species